rnacentral:rRNA from 1 species
AUUGAACGCUGGCGGCAGGCCUAACACAUGCAAGUCGAACGAGUGGCGGACGGGUGAGUAAUGUCUGGGAAACUGCCUGAUGGAGGGGGAUAACUACUGGAACCGGUAGCUAAUACAGCAUACCAUCGGAUGUGCCCAGCUGGGAUUAGCUAUUAGGUGGGGUAACGGCUCACCUCGGCGACGAUCCCUAGCUGGUCUGAGAGGAUGACCAGACACACUGGAACGUAGACACGGUCCAGACUCCUACGGGAGGCAGCAGGGGGGAAUAGUGCACAAUGGGCGCAAGCCUGAUGCAGCCAUGCCGCGUGUAUGAAGAAGGCCUUCGGGUUGUAAAGUACUUUCAGCGGGGAGGCGUUACCCGCAGAAGAAGCACCGGCUAACUCCGUGCCAGCAGCCGCGGUAAUAC